rnacentral:rRNA from 1 species
GAGGGAUAUCCGAAGUCGCCGCGCCAACCGCGAGGGGGCAAGCGCCGACGAUAGACUUCCUGAUUGGGACUAAGUCGUAACAAGGUAACCGUAGGUGAACCUGCAGAAGGAUCA